rnacentral:rRNA from 1 species
CCCUUAGACGUUCUGGGCCGCACGCGCGCUACACUGACCGGUGCAACAAGCAUCCGUCCUUGGCCGACAGGCCCGGGCAAUCUUUGAACGCCGGUCGUGAUGGGGAUAGACUUUUGCAAUUUUUGGUCCUCAACGAGGAAUUCCUAGUAAACGCAAGUCAUCAACUUGCAUUGAUUACGUCCCUGCCCUUUGUACACACCGCCCGUCGCACCUACCGAUUGAAUGGUCCGGUGAAGCCUCCGGAUUGGCGCGCACCUCGGUGCCGCCGAGAAGUUGGCUAAACCUUACCAUUUAGAGGAAGGUGAAGUCGUAACA